rnacentral:rRNA from 1 species
UACCAGCACCCCGAGUGGUCGGGACGUUUAUUGGGCCUAAAGCAUCCGUAGCCGGUUCUACAAGUCUUCCGUUAAAUCCACCUGCUUAACAGAUGGGCUGCGGAAGAUACUAUAGAGCUAGGAGGCGGGAGAGGCAAGCGGUACUCGAUGGGUAGGGGUAAAAUCCGUUGAUCCAUUGAAGACCACCAGUGGCGAAGGCGGCUGGCCAGAACGCGCUCGACGGUGAGGGAUGAAAGCUGGGGGAGCAAACAGA